rnacentral:lncRNA from 1 species
UAACUCAUACAUUCUAGAUUUUCUAUUUUUUAAGCACUUUAGUUGUUUGUUUUUAGUUUGUUAUUUUUCUUUCUUUAUGUGAAACGAAUGUUAAAACCUGGGCAAUACACAUAAACUAAUUACCAUACUUAAGGUCACCUUUGAAUCAAAGGCAACAAUGACUAUAAACUGCAAGAGUAUAUGACUCUCAAACACUUGACUAUUUACAGUGAUGGCACAUGCCUUUAAUACCAGCACUUGGGAGGCAGAGACAGGUGGAUUUUUGAGUUUGAGGCCAGUCUGGUCUACAGAGUGAGUUUGAGGACAGCCAUGGCUACAUAGAGAAACCCUGUUUUGAAAAAAAGCAAAACAAAACAAAAAAAGAAAAAGAAAAAGAAAAAGAAAAAGAAAAGAAACAGAAAAAGAAAAAGAAAGGAAAAAAGCAAGCUUGAGUAAUUACAAUAGUGACACUAUGGCUUGCCAGCUGGAUAUAGUAACUCUGAUCAGGAACGAAUAUUCUAUCCCUGAUUUAGUAGGAUACAAGAUCCUUCACAACGAUAGUCAGGAUUUUGCCAAAACUGACAUCAUUGUUAGACACCAAAUACAUUUUCUAAAUAUAAGUGAAUAGGAAAAUGUGUUAUGCAACCCAAAAUAAGAAAGAAUAAUUAUACAAGAGAGAGACAUAGUAGGAAUCAUUUUUGAAUUCUCAUGAUUCUGUGAUGUCCUGAUGUUAAACUUUCUCUCUCUUUCUAGUUUAAUUAAAGGGCGUUAAAGGCAAUUUACUGGUUUUAAAGAAUAUAAUAGUCACAUAUGAAUAUACAACCAAUUUGUGUGUGUAAGAUAAUACAUUGCUUUUCAGACUUUAUUCAUGAAUUAUGGAAAUCUUAAUAUCUACUUUCACAUUGGUGGCAAUAUUUAGCCCAGACUGCUGUGCUAAAACACAACCUACUACUAAUAAAAGGGAGACUGUAGGUGAAUCAUUUCUAGAAUACAAAUUAUGUUGAGUUCUACCUGUCUAUCAUCUCUGCAAAUUCUAGUUGAUGGACUUGCAGAAAGAGCACCAAAAGUGUUCAUGCUUACUAAGUGAUGUUGUUGUAGAAGCAGGUUGAACAUUGAGUUGUCUAGGUAGUGUUACAAGGAAAAAUUUGCUGAUGUUUUUGGGGAGAUAGGUCACUGGCUCAGAUCACUGGCUGUUCUUCCAAAGGACCCUUGUUCAAUUCCCAUCACACACACACACACACACACACACACACACACACACACACACGACGGGUCACAACUGUCUGCAACUCCAGAUCCAGGGGACUCAACACACUCACAGGGACAUACAUGUAAGCAGACCACCAAAUGCACACAUAAUAAACAAAUAAAUAAAAUAUUUUAAAAAUUGUAUUUUGUGAUUAAGAGACUAAGUGCCUGAAAGAAAUAGCCUAGCUGUAUACUUGACAUCUUUGGAAUCUAUCACAAGUGCUAGAUAGCUACCUAAAAGAUGUGAAAAGUUGUGGCAUAAUUCUGCCUUCUGGCACACAAUUCUAAUUUUAUUAAAAGCCCAAACAGAAAUACUUGGAUUUGCUCGAUCCAGCUAUAUUACCUUUCAGUUCCAGAGGCAAUUGUGAAUUUUAUUUAGUGGUCUCUUCUGGCUUCCUUGAAGGUUCCACCCGUUUAGUUUUAUUGUCCUCCAUUGCUUCUCUGUAUCCCCGUUCCCAUGCUCACAAAACACUUAAGCAUUCACAAAAUAUUUGACCAUAUGGUUUCAGUUUUUAAAAUAUCUGAAGUUAGUAUCAUGUAAUCAUUUCUUGCUCCCAUAAGAUUGAGUACAUCUUUGUUGACCAAUUUGUGACUCACCUGAAAAUAUAUUUUAAAUUAAUUUUCAUAUAUAGAGUGAAUGUUUUACAACCAGUUCAGUAAAAUAGUGAAUCUGAAAUUUCAAAUUCCAAAUUCAAGCUUAUUCUACUAUGCAUACUGCUAUACCUUGAAAGGUACAAGUCUUCACAUUUAAACAUUUAUCAAGAAAGCAUACAUCUCCUUCAGUGUUACCAGUAAAAUGUUUACUGCUUAGAGGCUGCUGUGGCUUUCACCGAUUCUUCUGCCCAGUUGGAAUAUCUACUUUAAAUGCAUAUAAGAACAGAGUUGCUGCAGAUUUCUCAGUGACAUGAAUAAAGCAAUGAGACCAAAGACUGUUCACUGAGCUUGACCAGUUAGGUGACUUUAUUAAGUGAAUUCCACAGCAAUCAGGGAUCUGGGUCCUUUUCUCACACUGUAUUUGAUACUCAGGUAAAUCAGCUCUGCCUCAUGCAGUUGUAUUCAAAAUGCAAGAUGGUGUUCCUUAGCUGGACACUCUUUGAAAUCUGUUUUUGUCACUAAACUGGCUAUUACAUGAUGAAUUUAUAUUCAUAACUUCAUAACUUUAAAAUAUAAUCUAGAGUGGUUCAAGAAAAUAACUUACAAAUAAGAGAUUGAGCAGAAAGGCUAAAAACAAAAAAUC